rnacentral:ncRNA from 1 species
AAUUAAAUAAUAUACAUAUGAAAAUGAUUAAUUAUUAUAUGUAUAAGGGAAAAAAUGCUGAAAUAUUCCCACAUUCUCUCAGUAUUAUAGAGAAAAGCCAUUAUAGUGAGAGGGUAUAGUAGUGUAAACGACCGGAAUUACGACAGAGGGUUCAAAAACUACUAUAGGUAGGCAGUGGUCUUAAGGUAGCCAAAUGCCUCGUCAUCUAAUUAGUGACGCGCAUGAAUGGAUUAACGAGAUUCCUACUGUCCCUAUCUACUAUCUAGCGAAACCACAGCCAAGGGAACGGGCUUGGAAUAAUUAGCGGGGAAAGAAGACCCUUUUGAGCUUGACUCUAAUCUGGCAGUGUAAGGAGACAUAAGAGGUGUAGAAUAAGUGGGAGAUAUUAGACCUCGGUUUGGUAUCGUCAAUGAAAUACCACUACUCUUAUUGUUUCCUUACUUACUUGAUUAAAUGGAACGUGUAUCAUUUCCUAGCCAUUAUACGGAUAUAUUUAUUAUAUCUUAUGGUAUUGGGUUUUGAUGCAAGCUUCUUGAUCAAAGUAUCACGAGUUUGUUAUAUAAUCGCAAACAAAUUCUUUAAUAAAACGAUGCAUUUAUGUAUUUUUGAUUUGAAAAUUUGGGAAU